rnacentral:sRNA from 1 species
GCUGGGAAUGGUGGUGCAUGUCUGUAAUUCCAGCAGCUUGGGAGGCUGAGGCAGGAGGAUCAUGAGUUCAAAACUAGCCUCAGCAACUUAGCAAGAACCUGUCUCUA